AGCCAUUAGCCAAGCAAGUAUUAAAGGUAACGCCUGCCCAGUGAGAACACACUUCUUAAACGGCCGCGAGACAAACCGUGCGAAGGUAGCGCAAUCACUUGUCUCCUAAAUAGAGACCGGUAUGAAAGGCCUCAUGAGAAAGAAACUGUCUCUUGAAGAUAGCCAAUGAAACUGAUCUGCCUGUGCAAAAGCAGGCAUAACGAAACAAGACAAAAAGACCCUGUGAAACUUCAAAUUAAACGCCAACCGCCUGGCGCAAAUUUUGGGUUGGGGCAACCAAAGAGAAACAAAACCUCUUCCUACAUACCAGACCAACAAGUCAAAUUAAACACACACGACCCAGUAUAACUGAUCAAUGAACCAAGCUACUCCAGGGAUAACAGCGCUAAAUUCUUGAAGAGUUCACAUCAACAAGAAUUCUUACGACCUCGAUGUUGGAUCAGGAUAACCUAACAGUGCAAAAGCUGCUGACGGUUCGUUUGUUCAACGAUUAAUAUCCU
rnacentral:rRNA from 1 species